rnacentral:rRNA from 1 species
UUAAGCUAAGAAGAGCGUAGGGAGAAUGCCUUGGCAUUAGGAGCCGACGAAGGACGUGAUAAGCUGCGAUAAGCUGCGGGGAUCAGCAAGUAUGAAUUGAUCCGCAGAUUUCCGAAUGGAGCAAUCCGUAUGUGUAUGCACAUACAUCAUAUACUGAAUCAAAUAGGUAUAUGAGGGGAACCGCCUGAACUGAAACAUCUAAGUAGGGCGAGGAAGAGAAAUCAACCGAGAUUCUGUGAGUAGUGGCGAGCGAAAGCGGAAGAGGCUAAACCAUAGGUAGCAAUACUUAUGGGGUUUCGGACAGCAUUUAGUAUUGAUAAUUUCUAGUUGAAACGUGUGGGAAAACGUACCGAAGAGUGUGAGAGUCACGUAAGCGAAAGAGAGAGUCAGCGAGCUGUAUCCAAAGUACCGCGGGACACGUGAAACCUCGUGGGAAGAUGGGGGGACCAUCCUCCAAGCCUAAAUACUACCUAAUGACCGAUAGCGAAUAGUACUGUGAAGGAACGGUGAAAAGAACCCCGGGAGGGGAGUGAAAAAGAACCUGAAACCCUAUGCUUACAAGCACCGAGAGCACGUCAAAGUGUGAUCGGGUACCUUUUGUAGAAUGGUCCGGCGAGUUAUUGUAUGCGGCAAGGUUAAGUGCUUAAGGCACGGAGCCGAAGCGAGAGCAAGUCUGAAUAGGGCGAAUAAGUCGUAUGCAAUAGACCCGAAACCGAGUGACCUAUCCAUGUCCAGGCUGAAGUGGAGGUAAAACUCCAUGGAGGGCCGAACACACGUCCGUUGAAAAGGCCGGUGAUGAGGUGUGGAUAGCGGAGAAAUUCCAAUCGAACUCGGAUAUAGCUGGUUCUCUCCGAAAUAGCUUUAGGGCUAGCCUCGUGAAAGAUUACUGGAGGUAAAGCACUGAAUGGGCUAGGGGUCGAAAGAUUACUGAACCCUAUCAAACUAAGAAUGCCAGAUAAUUGAUUCACGGGAGUCAGACAAUGUGAGAUAAGUCUCAUUGUCAAAAGGGAAACAGCCCAGACCCACAGCUAAGGUCCCUAAACAUUGUUAAGUGGAAAAGGAUGUGGGGUUGCAUAAACAACCAGGAUGUUGGCUUAGAAGCAGCCACUCAUUAAAAGAGUGCGUAAUAGCUCACUGGUCGAGUGACCCUGCGCCGAAAAUUCAACGGGGCUAAACAAUGUACCGAAGCUUGGGAUUCUAAAGUAAUUUAGAGUGGUAGGAGAGCGUCGAAUAAGGGGUGAAGUCAGAGCGGAAGCGCUGGUGGACUUUAUUCGAGUGAGAAUGCCGGAAUGAGUAGCGAGAAUUAUGUGAGAAUCAUAAUGGCCGAAAAUCUAAGGUUUCCUGAGGAAGGUUCGUCCGCUCAGGGUAAGCCGGGAGCUAAGGCGAGGCGGAGACGCGUAGCCGAUGCACAUACGGUUGAAAUUCCGUAGCCACCGAAAGAUUUAAGUACAGGGACGCUUUAGAAGUGAUGUUGCCGGGCGAUGGUUGACCCGGUCGUAAGGGAUCGAAAAUGAGUAGAGAAGUCAUCAUGGAAAGAGACAAGAAAAGCUGUAUGAAUAUCUUAGGUGCCCGUACCGCAAACCGACACAGGUAGAUAGGAAGAAGAUUCUAAGGCCAACGGGAGAAGGGUUGUUAAGGAACUCGGCAAGUUGACCCCGUAACUUAGGGAUAAGGGGUGCUCAAGUGAUUGAGCCGCAGAGAAUAGGCCCAGGCGACUGUUUAGCAAAAACACAGGUCUCUGCUAAAUCGAAAGAUGACGUAUAGGGGCUGACACCUGCCCGGUGCCGGAAGGUUAAGAGGAGAUGUGAGAGCAUUGAAUUGAAGCCCCGGUAAACGGCGGCCGUAACUAUAACGGUCCUAAGGUAGCGAAAUUCCUUGUCAGGUAAGUUCUGACCCGCACGAA